GACGGUUUGGCCGAGUGGUCUAAGGCGCCAGAUUUAGGCUCUGGUCCUGAAGGGCGUGGGUUCAAAUCCCACAGCCGUCA
rnacentral:tRNA from 1 species